GUGCUUGCUUCAGCAGCACAUAUACUAAAAUUGGAAUGAUAAAGAGAUUAGCAUGGCCCCUAAGCAAGGAUGACAGGCAAAUUUGAGAAAUACACCUCAGUGCA
ensembl:snRNA U6 U6 spliceosomal RNA